AUUUUAAAAAUGGCAGUUUCCCCUGCGCUUUUUCUCUCUCCUGUGCCUUGUGAAGAAAGUGCCUGCUUCGCCUUCACCUUCGGCCAUGAUUGUAAGUUUCCUGAGGCCUUCUCCGCCUGCAGAGCUAUAAUCCUCUCUCCACAACUUGAUAAUGCACAAACUGCAAAUCUUCUGGUACUCACUGCUGCAAGCAAACUUGAAGUCUUUCUGAGCCUGACUCUUCAUUCCUGCCUUGUGUGACCCAGGGAUGGAGGACUGCCCUCCCAACUCAUUAUCCUCUUUGCCCAGGAGCUAUCUGCUUCAUCGACAUGGCAGGGAACGUGGCUGAACACAGAGGACUCAUUUUUGCAGCUUCCCUACCAGAGAGAGAGAGACACCCUUUUUACCCGAGUUCUGAGUUGAAAUAUCCUAGAAGAGAACUCUGAUUGGCCUGGCUUGGGUCACAUGCCUGUCCUUGAGUUGAUCAACUGUGAUUAGUUAUAAGUGUACUCAUUAGUAACUUCCCCUGGAACCUUAGAUUUGAUGUGGGGUAAGACUUCCAAAAACAAACAAAAAAAUAAAACAGAAGAAUGCU
rnacentral:lncRNA from 1 species